GUGUGUGCUUCGCUCUUGCUGUGCGCGGGAAACCAGGGGCUUUCAAGCCUGCAGGAUCUGUGCGGCCCGGCGAAACAGCGACCAGUUUCACGUGGCUCGUACUAGCUUGAGUUCAACUACUUUCACCUUGCGUCUCGUUGUCAACGUCGCGCUCUCAAGUUUUCAUGAAAUCUCGAUGCCGUGAAUUUUAAGUAAGCCCCGCGCGUCGUAAACGCAUAAAUUCCAGAAAUGUUAAGCCAGUAUUUAUUUAUAUGUUAACCCUGAUGAAGCGCUGAUUCUAUCUGUCUGAUUAUAACGAUCGUUUAUCACUCGUAAAACAAAAUUGAACGAACUUUGUGCGUUUAGAAAUUUAAUCGUCUUGCGGCGAGAUGUACGAGCGUAUAAUCAAGACAAAAGGGUAGAACAUGAUUCGAGCCGGAACGACCGUCGAGACCUGGAAACGUCCCGAAGCGCGGAGCUAGUGACAGCAAAGGCGGCGAGCGCAAUAACGGAUAAGCGGAGCAAUCGGACAGUUUGUGAGCGGCCUCUGCUCCUGAUGGGCUGGACGAUGGAGAGACACGGCUGUAGGGAGUCGGGGCCGACCGAAGGAAGCGAGGCAAUCAAAGGAGGAGACUGUCGAAAGAAGGAUAAGGAAACCACUACAACAGAAAGUUCGCAAAGUGUUUCAACGUAUUCGUUCAGUUCACAAGGUCCAGCGAUCUCUUUCAAACAAACUCUUGAACCGAUCAUUGAUUGUAAGCAGAUGAUUGUACAAAAUAGUGAUGAGACAAUUCUUUACUCUUUUCACUUGGUAGACAUUAAAGUGGACAAUAUAUUCUUCGAAUAUUUAAAAUGUUUGUAUUUCUGUAAGGUUUUUAACGUUUUAUAUCCGCUAGAAGUAGUUAAUAUAUUAGAUUUAGUAGAUUUUAAUAAUAUAUAAGAGAAAUUUUUUAAUGACUCAUGAAUAUUAUUAACUGAACAAGACGAUACAGAUGCGAAAAUCAACAUAAUGAAUUGAUCCUAAAUGCAAAACUCAGCAAAUAUGUAUGUUUACGAAAACUUGAAUAAGUCUAUCAAACCGCUAAUCGCGCGAUCAGAAUUCACAGCGGAAAAUACAAAAUUGGAGGCGUAAUAUAGACGUCUUAUUUCUGGAUAUACGUAGAAGAGCAUGACGAACGGUCGACCCCUCGGUAAAGUCCUUUGCAUAGCCGGAGGGAGAACGCCGAAAUUCCAGGGAAGAUUAAGACGUGCGGAUUUGGGGGUAGGGCAAGCGGAAAAACAGGAGCUAAGGGCAGGGAGCGGAACCUUAGCUCGCGGCUACAGAAAACCAUAGUCGGCUCGUCGCAGAGAGACGCGAGAGAAAUCUCUCCCACCGCUCUUGCUGCACGAUCUCUCCGUCUCCAUAUCUAUUCGUCUCUUUCUAUUCUCCACAUUCUUUGCCUCCUCUUUCCUCCCCUUCUCACUCUCUCCUUUUCGCGUAAAAGCAAGAAAGCUUAAUUUCAAUUUCG